AAAUUGAAGAGUUUGAUCAUGGCUCAGAUUGAACGCUGGCGGCAGGCCUAACACAUGCAAGUCGAACGGUAACAGGAAGAAGCUUGCUUCUUUGCUGACGAGUGGCGGACGGGUGAGUAAUGUCUGGGAAACUGCCUGAUGGAGGGGGAUAACUACUGGAAACGGUAGCUAAUACCGCAUAACGUCGCAAGACCAAAGAGGGGGACCUUCGGGCCUCUUGCCAUCGGAUGUGCCCAGAUGGGAUUAGCUAGUAGGUGGGGUAACGGCUCACCUAGGCGACGAUCCCUAGCUGGUCUGAGAGGAUGACCAGCCACACUGGAACUGAGACACGGUCCAGACUCCUACGGGAGGCAGCAGUGGGGAAUAUUGCACAAUGGGCGCAAGCCUGAUGCAGCCAUGCCGCGUGUAUGAAGAAGGCCUUCGGGUU
rnacentral:rRNA from 1 species